rnacentral:lncRNA from 1 species
UUGCUAAAUGAUAAUGUUUUGGUUGCUGGUGAUUUCUACACUAUCAGUUUCUGGAAUGUCUCACCUGUUGGCACUCCGUUAACGAGUGUGUUCCAUUGAACCAAAAAUAAGGGAAUUUUCCUUUUCUUUUCCCUUCAUUUUAUUACUCAAUAAACCACUGCACCGAAUUUGGGAUUAUAUUUAUUUUCCAUUGGCAUAAAUAGUACUACUUGAUUUCGUGAAGUAAAAUGAUAGAAUUAGGUAUCUUGAUAUAUAUAUAUAUCCAAUGGGAUAUCCUAUAAUAUUAAUUCACUUAUCAUUAAAUGAAAUUUUUUGAACGAUUUAAUACCAAUUAGGAAAAAGAGGAAAAAAAAGAAACUCCACUUUUUUUGGGUAACUAAGGCCUCGUUUGCUUUUUUUAAGAUUAAGACAUCUGAAUUUGAAUGCACGUCCGAAUAUUAAAAUGUGGUAUGCAGAUCUGAACACUGAAUGAUUAAGAUUGUUUUCAACAUUUGAAUACGUAUAAUAUAUUUAUAUAUAUAUAUCAAGAUAAAAACAUAUACAAUUCAAAAAAAAAGUGAUUAAAUAUUACAUCAAUUAGUGAAAAUAUUAACUUGAACAAAAAAGUUAUUAUUUGAGAUAAAUUGAAAUAUUAUAAGAUAUAAAUUAAUAUUUUAUGUAAGAUCCAAUUGUUAAACUAUUUGAACUAUAAAUAAAAAUUAUAUAUAAUAACAAAAAUUGUAGUAAUGAAAUGUGACCAAAAAAAUAUUUUGAACGUAAAGUAUUCAUACAAGAUAUAUGACUUUUAGCUUAAUUUAGUAAUAUUAUUAUUUAUAUUAUCAAGUGUUAAUUCAAAUUAGUAAGAUAUGAGCCAUAUGUUUGCAAUGCAUUACCUUGGAUCUUGAUGUAAAAAAAUUUAUUUGCUAAUACAAAAAUUUGAGUAGUUUAAUUUGAAAGUCUAGAUAUUUCCUAUGUUAAAAAGUAAAUAUUUUUUGAUUUUUUAAAGCCUUUUUUACACAGAUUUUAUACUUUUUUCUACAAAGUUCAGAAUUGUCUAGGUCAAAAUAUUAUUACGUAUUUUACAACACCUUUUGGGACCCAUGAAGAUAAGUUGUAUAUUUCUAAGCAAAUAAUCUGUUUGAAGAUUGCAAAGAUGUAGUAAAUGGUAUGAUCUUAAACACAAAAUAGGAAAAAGAUUGAGAAAGUAAAGAAGCUAUUCUUGAAUAAACAAAAAAAAGUUAUGAUCUUAAACACAAAAUAGGAAAAAACAAUUGAGGAAGUAAAGAAGCUAUUCUUGAAUAAACAAAAGAAAGCAUGUUUCAAUUAUAAAACAUGUAACAUAUGACGAAUAAUUCAAGAGAAAUAGCACAUAAAUAUUCAGAAAGCACUGAAAUAUAAAUCUUACACAUUAUCCGAAUUCUAGCCAAAUAUGAAACUAUAGCGGCUUUAAUUUCAACAACACAAAACUUCAUUAUACAAUUCUAGCCAUAGCAAAGUUUCUUAAUUUUGGACGAGCUUAAUAAACACCAAUUACGGUUUAUAUUUCAACUAGACAAAUUGAAUUUCAGUCACUAAUAUGCAAUUCUUGAAGAAAACAAAAGAAGGUUCAAAAGGGACUAUGUGAAUCUGCAAAAGAGAAAAAAACAUUGCUAACAUUUUGGAACACAUCCCAAUUAAGAAUUACGAUUUAGAGAAUCAGGAUGUCAACAAAAUCAAGAAAAAACAUCGCUAACAAUUUAGAACACGUCCCAAUUAAGAUUUACGAUUUAGAGAAACGGGAUGUCAACAAAAUCAAGAAAAAUUACAGAAAAUUCAGAGAUUCAAUCAAAAUAGAAUAUCCAAAAGUGAGAGCAAACACAAAUAAGAGGCAAGCAAAACCUUCUAGUUUAGCCCCUUCUCAAUCGUAUUUCUAAAUGGGUUUUUUAAAACCCUAAACUCGAAACUGAAAUUUACCAUUAGUCAAGCAAAACCUUCUAGUUUAACCCCUUCUCAAUCGUAUUUUAAAAGGAGGUUUCUUAAACCCUAAACUCGAAACUGAAAUUUACCAUUAGAAAAGUGGAAACAAGAUGGAGAAUUCCAACUAUAAUUUUCAAAAUCUUAC